ensembl:piRNA 21ur-2422 ncRNA
UAAGUCUUUGAUGGUCAUUUC